rnacentral:rRNA from 1 species
UACAGAGGGGGCCAGCGUUAUUCGGAAUUAUUGGGCGUAAAGAGCUCGUAGGUGGCUUGUUGCGUCUGCCGUGAAAGCCCGUGGCUUAACUACGGGUCUGCGGUGGAUACGGGCAGGCUAGAGGCUGGUAGGGGCAAGCGGAAUUCCUGGUGUAGCGGUGAAAUGCGCAGAUAUCAGGAGGAACACCGGUGGCGAAGGCGGCUUGCUGGGCCAGUUCUGACGCUGAGGAGCGAAAGCGUGGGGAGCGAACAGG